AACGUAGGCGCCAAGCGUUAUUCGGGAUCACUGGGCGUAAAGCGCGCGUAGGCGGAUUCAUAAGUCGAGUAUAAAAUCCCUCGGCUCAACCGGGGAACCGUGCUCGAUACUGUGAAUCUUGAGUGCAGGAGGGGAGAGUGGAAUUCCCGGUGUAGCGGUGAAAUGCGUUGAUAUCGGGACGAACGCCUGUGGUGAAAACGGCUCUCUAGUCUGCUACUGACGCUGAAGUGCGAAAGCCAGGGGAG
rnacentral:rRNA from 1 species